rnacentral:rRNA from 1 species
GGAGGCAACUCUGAUCCAGCCAUGCCGCGUGAAGGAAGACGGCCUUAUGGGUUGUAAACUUCUUUUAUACAGGAAGAAACCUUUCCACGUGUGGAAAGUUGACGGUACUGUAAGAAUAAGGAUCGGCUAACUCCGUGCCAGCAGCCGCGGUAAUACGGAGGAUCCAAGCGUUAUCCGGAAUUAUUGGGUUUAAAGGGUCCGCAGGCUGUUUGUUAAGUCAGAGGUGAAAUCCUACCGCUCAACGGUAGAACUGCCUUUGAUACUGGCAAACUUGAGUUAUUGUGAAGUAGUUAGAAUGUGUAGUGUAGCGGUGAAAUGCAUAGAUAUUACACAGAAUACCGAUUGCGAAAGCAGAUUACUAACAAUAUACUGACGCUGAGGGACGAAAGCGUGGGUAGCGAACAGGAUUAGAUACCCUGGUAGUCCACGCCGUAAACGAUGGUCACUAGCUGUUCGAUGUACAUUGGUACGUUGAGUGGCUAAGCGAAAGUGAUAAGUGACCCACCUGGGGAGUACGCUCGCAAGAGUGAAACUCAAAGGAAUUGACGGGGGCCCGCACAAGCGGUGGAGCAUGUGGUUUAAUUCGAUGAUACGCGAGGAACCUUACCAGGACUUAAAUGUAAGUUGCAUGAUUCAGAAAUGAAUCUUUCUUCGGACUACUUACAAGGUGCUGCAUGGUUGUCGUCAGCUCGUGCCGUGAGGUGUCAGGUUAAGUCCUAUAACGAGCGCAACCCCUAUCGUUAGUUGCCAUCAAGUAAAGUUGGGAACUCUAGCGAAACUGCCGGUGCAAACCGAGAGGAAGGUGGGGAUGACGUCAAAUCAUCACGGCCCUUACGUUCUGGGCUACACACGUGCUACAAUGGUCGGUACAGAAAGCAGCCACUAUGCAAAUAGGAGCUAAUCUUUAAAACCGAUCUCAGUUCGGAUCGCAGUCUGCAACUCGACUGCGUGAAGCUGGAAUCGCUAGUAAUCGGAUAUCAGCCAUGAUCCGGUGAAUACGUUCCCGGGCCUUGUACACACCGCCCGUCAAGCCAUGGAAGCUGGGGGUACCUAAAGUCGGUGACCGAAAGGAGCUGCCUAGGGUAAAACUAGUGACUGGGGCUAAGUCGUAACAAGGUAGCCGUACCGGAAGGUGCGGCUGGAAUACCUCCUUUCU